CGGCGGCCUCCCACACCGCAAAGGCCACCGUGCACUGUAAUCGGCGUCUNCGGUCUCAACAGAGUAUAAACGCACAGAGUAAUAAUAAAACACAAUAACAAUAAUGACGCCGGAUAACAACAAAGCGAUAUACGGCGGCCCGGACACCGACGAGGUACAAACAGGAGCAUCUCCCGCGGACGCACAAGUAUACAAUGAAUACGACAAAAGCCCUUAUAGUUAGAACAUACCGGCACAGACUAAAUAACAAUACAUCGCAGAUCGGCCUCCGUGCGGAUGUUCAUAGAUAAUUUAAUCAUGAACGUAAUUAGUGAUUGCGUGUGGAUGUGCGCGCUACCCCCCACCAGUCGCUCUAUCUUAUAUUAUCAUUUUCUCACUCGCGCCCACAAUAAGUUUUAGUGAGAUCCGAUAUAUGGUAUUCUACUGAAUAAAAGAUAAUAAUACUCUAGUAGAUAGAUUCCGUUAAAGUAUCACCUUGAAUUGCUAAGGAUAUGAUAGUGUCUCUUCAGAGUUCAUUAGUGGAAGAUACUAAAGCCCGAAACAGCAAGGGAAAAGAGAUACCCCGAGACGGAAGACGGCAGUGAUGGAGGGUAGAGCGCGGGGGCGAGCCGCGCCGCCACGACGGCGGGACGCCGCCGACGGCCAUAAUCAGGACACAAGCGUGUAGAGCCACGGGGUGCAACAAAUCCCGGACGGCGGUCCUCAGGUGACAUCGCACGCUACAACUCUCCCACAUGAAACUUUAAUAUUUAGUAUUCGUGUGUCAUCUAUAUUGCGUUGAAUACGUUCUCGGGCCUUGUACACACCGCCCGUCACGUCAUGGGAGCUGGUAACACCUGAAGCCGGUAGCCUACCGCAGGGAGGAAGCGUCGAAGGUGGGGCUGGUAACUGGACGAAGUCUAACAAGUAAUGGCACGGCCAUGCGGCCGCCAUAUGUGUAUCGGCCCAAUCGCCAAUAGGAUCUAACACAGGGAAGGCAAAGAAGGAAACAGAAGAUA
rnacentral:rRNA from 1 species